UUUUUUUUUUUUUUUUUUUUCUUCUGUACGUGUAUGCGUCAUGCGGUGCGACAGUGAGGUUGUUGCUGAUUCGAGCGGUGGUACCGUUUGAUUGUCUGGCGUAACUCCACAUUAUGGUUCUGGCUUCUUGGGCACCAUUGUCAAAAUACAAAGUGUCACGGCUUGAUGAGCUGGGCUUCAGUUUGUCUUCCUCGAUGUCGGUUGCGAUUCAAGAGCAAGCUUGUGGGUGCGGCGCGGUUAUGUGCGACGUUGUGCUUAUUGUGGGCGAGGUUGGCCUUGGCUCAUCCAACUGGCUACAAAGCUGUUCGAGUUUCUUCUUGUUUCUUUUUUUAUUCCUGGACGGCGUUGAGGAAUUUCGCUUGGUUGCGACGUCGGCUUGUGCAUAGAUCGGCUCUCCUCAACGUUGUUCCCUUCCUCGUUGAAGUGCUGCAUUGUAGCAUUGGUUUUGGAUAUCGUGGUCUACUAGCGGCUUGGCAACGUGUUGCGGCAUUCAAGUGCACGCUCGAUUCGACGUGGUGGCUAUGACGAUGCUGCGGUGGAGAUCAGCUCUCUCCUCAUUUUUUUUGUGCUUUGCGAUUUGAUUCAACCGGAUGGUUGGUGGUGCUGAAAAAGGUUUGGUUUGUUGAAGAAGUUCCAGUGGUGCUGGAUGGGGGCAACGUUGCUGUCUACCUUGUUCAACAACAAAGUGGCGGUGGUUGUGUUUUAUCUAAUUCUCAUUCUGCAGUAGUCUCCUCCCUCCUUGACUUGGCAAUAGUCAUCAACAGCCAUGAUUUCGGCCUGGUUCCGACGGCAAGCAACCUGGGCCACCUUGCACUUGUACUAGGAGCUCGACAUCGCUCGAUCGGGUGGUAUUUCAUUCGAUUGCAUUCAUUGAUCGGGGUUGAUUGGCUGUCUGCGGUGUUGGAUUUGCACUCCUCAUCUUGUGAGGUCUUUGGAAUAGUGUAUUUUUCGGAACUUGAUGAGUUUUUGAAUGAGGUUUUGGUGUCUAGAGAUGCGGAGUAGAAGAGCUUAGCGAUAUCAGGAGGAGCAUUUGGUAUAUCUGAUUAAAAUCAUGAGUUGUAGCAUUGGUGUUUGCACUGCGUGGCCUUGCUCGAAGGUGUCGAUGAAGAACACAAGGUUGCUAUGGUCAGUAUCCAUGGUGAUGCAAAUCUGAUGCACUUGAUACGAGGGUAGAAUCAAAGGUCUAGAUUCCACCGCGGUUUGUAGAAGUUACCGAGGAUUCAACUGCUUGCAUCAUUUUGCGGAACUUAACGCAAAGGGCUUCCAUUCACGAUCAGUUUGGUACCACGAGUCUCAUGUAGUUGCUAUUUAAGUUUCUAGGUGCCUUUUUGUGAUGGUUUUUGGAUUUAACAAGGAUUCAGUGCAGAACUGGAGGCAGUCCCUCGAUGCUGAAGUCGGAAGUUCUUGAUCUCUACAUUCUCUUCUGGGGAUGUGAAGCUGAUUCUCUAGUUUGAAGACGGCACCUUGAUGGAGUCUCACAACAAGGAGAUCAACCAAUUGGAGGGGCUUGGCUAGAGUUCGUUAGAGUGGUGUCCGACUGCAAGGAGCUGCUGCAGAUUUCAUCGACAGCGGAGGGCAUUUUGACGCUAGCCGAGACUUAUAUGCAUGGUUCUAGGGAAGGAGAUGUCGAUCAGCAUAGGGAGUUCGGUGGUGUUGGAGUUUGGUAGUGGCAGAGCAGGUCGCAGAAGACAACUACAAGUUGACUCCAUCAAGCUAGCUAUGUAAGAUUUUCAAAGAGGAUGACUUGGAUUGGAUGAACUUAGAUUAAUUUGGAUGAAUAAUUGAAGUUGAAUGGAAAUUUUUAAAUUGGAUGAAAAUUAUUUAGAUGAA